CUCUCUCUCUCUCUCUCUCUCUCUCUGUCAGGCCGACUUCACAUUCCUCAUACCAGUCCGAUCCACCGUUCAUGACGGGGGUUAGAUUGUAGGGUCAUUAGGUAGAUAACGAUAGAUAACAUGACAUAAACAAGGACCAGGGCCAUACAGGUUUCCGAGGAAGACAGCAGUGUUAUCACAGAGUCAGGUUAUGAGAGUAGGCGUUGGCAACAAGUGUUAUGAGUCGGAAGUGGAGCUUUAUAAAAUCUCUACUUUUCAUUGUUAUUAUGAUGUCUAACUUGCAUAAAGGCAACAUUCCCCUCCUUUCGUUUGUGGCUUUCGCUUUUGUAAAACACGACUGCCAAUACCCCGCGGUUCCUGUCACUCUAACAAUCCCGCACAUCUUGGAGUUUUAUACCUCAAUUUUCUUGUUAUUCUAUGCAUCUUUUUCUUCCUUUGGUUUUGCGUUUUUGUGGCAUAGCAAUUCUCCUAUCCCCUGUCAUCCUUAUAGAAUCCUACACUUUUUUGAACUACCAAACACAUUUUCUCAUAUCAUUCUGUGAAUUCCACACUUCUUUAAAGCUCCAAUGUAAACACAAACAACUUAUUUUGUUACAAACAUAAACAACUCUUCCUCGUUUAUUGCAAACAUGCCCCGACAAGUCCUUCACGUGACCUUUCCCUUCAUUGCAUCCACAGAAGUAUAAAGCGGCCUCACAGCGCACACCAAGGCACUGACUUAGUUUUCCCACUUGUCACCCUUCAAACUGUACAGUUCAAGGUGCGGAAACUGAACUUCGAGCACAGAGAAUUAAACAAAUUUGAAGGAAUGGUGAAGAACUGUCGUGUUUUGAAAUCAUCAAGCACCGGUUUUCCACAGUCCAGGAAAAGACAAACAGGAGAAAAGGGCAAAAGGAAGAGGGAAAAUACCUCCACGAAAGCAUAGCAGGAUUCAAACACAGUGGGAGAAGUGAACGAAUGUUUAGAAAGUGUAAAAUCCGAAGUUAGGGGUUGACGGUUUCCGCCCUUUCAUUGCUCGCGCUACUAACUUCGUGGGAUACAAUAUUGUCGCCAUCGUUUCUGGUACAUUAACAAUAUCUCUUUUGCUCUCUCGUUCUCAGGGCUAAAAUACUCUCAACAAAAGCCAGCUUUCAGUAACAUUCCAUCGUAUGUAAUUAUAGCUCACCAGCCCAUCGCGACAGCCCAUCUGCGCACGAAGAAGAGUCCAGAAUAAAGUCUAGCAUCCGUUCUUGUGGGAAAGAAGAAGAAGGAAAAAAAACGAACGAACGAAAGGAGUGUUGCUUGGUAUGAAAAGAAAAGCAUUACUUCCAGGGACAUCAAGGACGAUGAAGAAGACGGGACUGAUGAUGAUAAUGAUGAUGGCCGUCAUCAUACAGUUACCCACAGACACAGAAGCCACCUGCAAUUCCUGUAACGACAGGCUCAAGGUGUCCCUCAUUUGCUGCAUUUUUGACGGCCGCUGCUGCGUCCUGGGACCAGUAGCGGUUGGGAAACGGGACCUGUCAUGGGUCCAAGAGCGCUACAAGGAGAGACAGGAAGACGUCUUGAAGUUCGAAGCCCAACAACUGGAGCUGGAGAAAGGCGCAGUCGUUCACCCACUGGCAAGACCUCGCGACUGAGGGAAAGAAAACUAUCGUCCAUAGUCGUUUAUUGUUGGUUAAGUUUAGCUUAGCUCAAGUCAAACACGAUGCUCACUCUAUUGUGCUAGAUUUAUCAGACUUAUUUCAGAGCAUUCUGCUCUCGAAAACACGAAAUCCGCCGUUCGUGGAUUCUUUUUUACAUUUUGAUUUCUAUAUUCGAAAUACUUUUUUUUAUAAGUGUAUGUUAGUGAAACAACUCUGAAUCAUAUCAAGACUCUUGUGCUUGUAUAUUUUGCUAUUUUAAUCUUACUCUUUUAUAUAUAGCAGAAAUUAGAUGUCUCCUCGUGUCGCAAAACAUGGCCCCCAGGUGUUCACUUGUAAAUAGCAUCUAAUAUUCAUCGAUGUUGACCAUCUAACCACAGACCAGACCUAAUAUUGACUCCCUUCAGUGACGUAGGACGAGAAGUAUGGCGAAUAACAAAAGCCUACGUAACUUAAGAAAUGCGACUAGGCCUUAUACGUAAAUCUGAGACCAAGAAUGAACCAGUUUUCUUCGACGACCAACCCAAGCCCGUGCCAGCACAAGGGUGGGUGAAUCUAAGAAGACGACCAACCCAUGAACAUCAGAAGCUGCUCCUGUAGCUCUGGUUUUGACUGGUUAUUUGUCGGCUAGAAUUCUUCCAGAUAAAAUGUGAUAGUUUAAACACGAACUCUCUCUCGCCCUCUCUCUCAUCACAAUAAACUAUCUUGGACUCCACAACGCGUGCAUGAAUGUUACAGUGAAUGUUAUCUUCUGUAUAACACACACACACACUAUAUAUAUAUAUAUAUAUAUAUAUAUAUAUAUAUAUAUAUAUAUAUAUAUAUAUAUGUAUAUAUAAAGUAGAGAAGAUAAACACUCACUAUACUAUUCAUACUUGCGUUGAGUCCAAGAUCAAGAAUAGUUUGUAGUGAUCUUGUCAACCUAGGCAUUUAUAUGGUCAUUUGUACAUCAGCCACUGGACUUGACUAUUCGGUCUGGCUGGAGAUUCGGGAAAUAUGAUCGAUGUCACCAACCAUUGGAAAGAGUCGUCUUUAACUGUUUAAACGGUAAGAAGGAACUUCUCAUUAAUGAUGUUAUUUCACGCACACGAGAGAAGAUUCUCACAUCAUCUUUGUAGAGUUUUAUUCGCUUCGACAGGAUCAAAGUAAUGAUUUUUUUGCCUAUAAGGCAACUUCUGCUACCCGACUUCAGAAUCGGCCUUCGUAGGGGGAUAGUCCUGUCCAAGGUCUUGGUGCUGUCAAUGCACCACACGUGGUGUACUGUAGGCAUUAAUUAAUGUUCUUUGUAGCGUCCCUCCGGUACUUAGCUGCAACCUCUUUCAUUCAUUUUUACUGUGCCUCCGCUGAACGGCUCAUAUUUUCUUUUCUUCCUUCCUACUUCCACCCUCCCCUAACAAAUGCAGGUUUUCCUCCUGUUACCCCUAUAAAACGAAUGAUCACAUAGGUGCCAGCGCUAGUCUUUUGGCCUAAAUUUUAAAUUCCAUUCAAAAUCACCAAGCAUUUCCAAGAAUAACAAUCUGUGAUGUAUUUUGUUUAUUACACUGCAGCUACUGUUAAUUGAAAAAAAAAAGGUAAGGAAUAGCAUUCAUGGAAUUUUUCCCGUUUCGUUUUCCUGAUAAGUGGUUGACAAUUAAAAUAAUAAUUUUACAGGAGAAAGGACAAAGCGUAACCUACUGCUUCAGCAAGCGUGUGAUGUAUGUAUUAUGUAUGAAAUUGAAUGCGCAUGAUGUGUAUAAGUGCAGACAGUAUUUACGUAGACGAUAUCCCCAUCAGAAUGUUUAAUCGUUGUUAAUUUGUUACAAAUGAAUAAAUUCUGAAAAAAAUA